rnacentral:tRNA from 1 species
GUUUUAAUAAUUUAAGCAAAAUAUUGGUCUUGUAAACCAAAAAUGAGAUUUCUCUUAAAGCU